AGCUAUUCCCUCCAUGCUAUGAUUUCCCAGGAGUAUAAUUUCCCUUGUCCCCAUUUACAGAGAGGUUUCCAGGCACAGAGGUGCGCAUUUCUGAAAUGCCUUAGGGUAUAAGGAUGUGAACUGAGCUUCCAACAGACUUCCCGCUGCCCUGGCCAUCCCCAGCCGCCUACGGGGCUGGCCCAGGCACUCCACCUAAAGGAGCAUUUUUCCUCAUGCAUCCAGACAGGAAAUUUGGAGCCACUUUCCAGAAAUGACACUUUGGCACAGGGAAAAUGUGAAGCAAUGUGUGUGGAAAACUGCAAAGUCUGGAGUUACAGGCAGAUGAAGCAAGGGACAUUGGGUAGUAAAAAAAAAAAGAAGAAUGAAAUGUUGGCUAAAUAUUUUUUUUUGGACAAAAGUAAUUAAUACAUGGAACAAACUAUUACCACAACUCUUGAGGAUGAACUACUACAACUUUUAAAAAAUAAUCAGAAGUUGUAAAAGAAUUCUAAGAGAGGAGAGGAAUUGAAAGAAAAGUUUGAGUAUGUGACUGGACAUGUGACUUUGUCAUAUUUUUAUUAUCUUUGCCAAAAACCUCAGACUAAUGAAGGAAGAAGAUUGAGGAGAAGACAAGCUAAAAGCGAACUCUCUUGAUAAGAUCUUCUGCUUGGAUUUUACUUUUUUCUUUUUUUAAAAAAGUAUAUUAAAAAAAGUAUAUUUCAUGAUAGAAAGCUCUCUCAAGUAGUAGUAGAAAUAUAAAAUUAUAUUUUAUAAUUAAAAUUGAAAAGAAAACGAGGUAUGUGAAACUCUUCUCAGGCAUAGCUAGAAGAGAGACCAAAAAUAAAUCUCCACCUUUGCAUUUUAAAGUUCAAUAGAACUGUUAUAGUCAUUAAAAUCUGAUGCUUAUACUGCUCUAAAUUUUGCAGUCCUUUUUGCCAUAAUCUUGACAAAUUCUUAAGGAACCUAAAUUGCAAAAACCAUUUCCAACCUAGUAAAAUGAUCUGUACUUUCUUCAUUGAUUUUUUUUUUUUUUUUUUUUUUUGUCUUUUUAGGGC
rnacentral:lncRNA from 9 species